rnacentral:rRNA from 1 species
UACGUAGGGUGCAAGCGUUGUCCGGAAUUAUUGGGCGUAAAGAGCUCGUAGGCGGUCUGUCGCGUCGGCUGUGAAAACCCGGAGCUCAACUCCGGGCCUGCAGUCGAUACGGGCAGACUGGAGUUCGGCAGGGGAGACUGGAAUUCCUGGUGUAGCGGUGAAAUGCGCAGAUAUCAGGAGGAGCACCGGUGGCGAAGGCGGGUCUCUGGGCCGAUACUGACGCUGAGGAGCGAAAGCGUGGGGAGCGAACAGG